UAGGCUUAGACCAAGCCCGGAAGUAGCUGCUGGCCCGUGCAGGGCAACCCCCAGGCGUCCAUGGAAGCGGAGGGUGGGGAGCCCAGGCCGGGGGCCGCCUCCCCCCUCUGGUGCUGCCCGUAGGGAGCGGGGGGUGGCCCCGGCUGGGGAGGUGCUGGGGCCCCGUGGAAGGUGCAGUCAGUGUGUCCCCUUAUGAAUGGACAUGGCAGGACCUGCUAUACGCAUUGGGGAUCAGCUCAUCCUAGAAGAAGAUUAUGAUGAAACGUACAUACCCAGUGAGCAAGAAAUUCAGGAGUUUGCCAGGGAGAUAGGGAUUGACCCUGAGAAUGAGCCGGAGCUGAUGUGGCUGGCCAGAGAAGGCAUUGUGGCUCCUUUACCUCCAGAGUGGAAACCAUGUCAAGAUAUCACUGGCGACAUCUAUUACUUUAACUUUUCUAAUGGCCAGUCCACGUGGGACCACCCUUGUGAUGAACAUUACAGAGAACUUGUGAUCCAGGAGCGGGAGAAGCUUUCGGCUCAUGGCAGCGUUAAAAAGAAAGACAAGAAGAAGAAAAAAGACAAGAAGGAGAGGAAAGACAAGAAGGAGAGAGAGCCAAUGAAACAUGCUGUGGAAAUGCAGCCAGAGCCAGGGAUUCUUCCUUCAACAUCCUUUUAUCGAAUGUCCUCUCCCAUCCUGUCCUCUGAGUGUGCAAGUCCUGAUCUAGAUCAGGAUAGCCAGAUUAGGAAUGAGGGCUUUCUUAAGAAAGGUAAAGGAAAGACCUCUGGGAGACCACCAGAGACAAGUGACUCAAACAGACAGUUUGCAGGGACUUCCCCAAAUAAAUUGCAGCCACUUCUGACAGCAAAGUCCAGCAGAACUCACCAGAUCUUAGCUGAUGUGGAGAAAAUUUUAGGAAGGACGCCAUCUUUUAGCAAAUCGGAUGUAGACAACCAGCAGGGCCAAGACAAGACCCCAAAAAUUGGAGACAAGCCUUGUCUUGGUUUUUCUGACUCGGAGUUUGAAGGUUUGGAUGUUGUUAGGACAAAGCCCAUUUCCUACGUGUCAAAGAAAUCGUGUUCACAAGACAUUGAGAAUGGGAGAAGUGUCCUUGAUUCCCCCAAUGUCCUGGAGGACAAAGGUAUGCUCUUUGUUGAGGAAAAGCUGUCUGACGACUGGAAGGAGGAGGAAAUGACAGGAGAGUGUGUCUGUCAGCCUGAUGACUGCUUAUCAGUUAGAGAAAGAUCAACAGGGCCUGGUGGUGAUAAGGAAAGAGACCCGGGUUUAUCACAAGCCAAUGAAAAUGAAGCUUUCUUGACCCCCAGUGCCCCUGACCAUAUUUUUUACAGCAGGAAACGUGAAAUGAUUCUCUUUGAUGCCAGUCUCCCAGAAGACCUGAGUUUGAUUGCGGAAUUUGAUGCUCACUAUCCCCAACGGGAGCUGAGGGCACACAGCACAGCAGUCGAGAGCAGAAGGAAGAGAAAACUUCAGGAUCAUGCAUUGAGUCAAGCCACCAAACUUUGCAAGAGCAAUGAGGCUGUCGGCAAGUGUGAGAUAGAGCGCUCAAAGCGGGCAGAGUUUGUUGAAUCUGAAGGAGCAGGCCUACAAGUAGCCCAGAAAAAAGACAUGUUAGACUGCCACCUGGCAGUCCCUGAAGUGACUGCAGAAACAUUACCCUACACCAUAGGGGUGGAAGUUUGUGCUCAAGCAGGAGCUGAAAUUUCUGCGUCGGAGCCUGUUUCUCUUUGUGCUGGACAGCACGAAGAGAAGGAGAAGGCAAACGGUUUGGGGCCUGAACCUGAUAGCAGUGUUACAAGCAGUUCCGCUGACCAUUUUGUAUCACAGAUUUUGGGAGAGGUUGAUAACUUCUCCUGGGAUCUCCAGAGCUCUCAUGAGUCUGACAGACAGACAGACCUGCUUGCUGCUGCUAAAGGUCCUCUGCCCACUCAUCCUUUCUCAGGAACUCUCCAAACUCAGCCACAAAGCUCAGCCAAUGAAAAGUUGCAGAGUGACUGUAACUCUGAGGAUGAGCAGUUCUAUCAGUAUGUGCAGGAAAACGAUCAAGUGCCUACUCAGGAACAUAGUUGUGUCAGUUUUAACAUGAAACUGAAUAGGUCACGUGAUGCCCCUGAGACGAACAAUGAGGGCAGACAAGAAGAAACAGUAGAAGAACAGCAAAGGACAGAGCCAGUUCCUAGAGGGCUAGAGGCAGAUUUGUUCACAGAAGGUUUACAGGUUUCUCCUGGUUGGCUUUAUCAGACCACCGAGUGCCAGGAAAGCAGCAGGCUCUGUCGGCAGGUGGAAGGAGAGUUGACCCAGAGCGGGAAAGCGACUGAGGAUUGCAGCAAACGGGAGCUUUGUGAAGGAGCAGGCAGUAAUGAGUCUCCAGGUUCCCUGCUAGCACCUGUCCAAGCUCCCCUGGGGAGUCUUGCUCCUUUACGUGGUGUCGUGGAUGGUCCAGCCAGUGCCCUCCGUGGCUCGCUAAGCACCGAUGUGGAGAACUCCGGGGUACCCAGUCUGCUGCUCAGAGAAGGAACUCUGCCUCCACAGACCCUUAAAUCCACCGGCUGCACUAAGAGCUUGCUGGGAUCCAUGCAUGAAGAAAAAGCCUCCUUAAAUCUCCUAGCUCUAGAUGAAGGGGAAAAUGAAGAGGAAGAGAGUGAGAAUCAGAGUCCCCGUGGGACAGCGAGACUGCUCAAAAAUCUGCACAUGGAUGUUAGCGCCCUAGGAGGCGGCUUCGAGUAUGAGGGCAGCUGCAGAGCAGAGGAAGACAAUUGUGGUACUCGGUUAGCCAGUGUUGCAGAACCUGGGCUCCAGCACCUAAGGAGUUCUGAAGAUGAAGCUGGAAGUCUGAGAGAGAAGGAGUCCUUGAAAGUGAAUCACCCUGAAGAAAGUCAAGAGUUUCCCUGGGAUUCUGAUGGUGUGCGCCCUCCAACUCUGGAUGAACUGCUUAACAGAGAUGCUGACAGCAGCCUGUGUGGCCUGAACAAAGAGGAGUCCAAUGGGAAACCCAUGGGGAAUGAACUGUUAGAAAAGGAAGAUACUGAUGUAGAAGAUGUGGUUUCUGUAGCUUACAAACAAUCAGGAACUCCGGGGGAAAGGACAGCGGUGGGGACAGAUGUGGUCAGCAGUCAAGGGCAUCCCGUAGCUGCGUCUCCAGAUGUUAGAGCUGCUGAGACAGAUCAGCUGGAAAGCGUGGCUGUCACCAUUGACACCAUGUCUGUCAAUGAAAAGAUUGUAAAUGGAAUGAGGGAAGAAGCAACUGAUCUGAAAACUGACAGCAAGCUGGACGCUGGGAAAGAGUCCGAGGCCAGUGAGCACAUGAAAGAAUUGCAGGUUUCUGACCGUUCGGAUCAUGAGCUGCUUCGUCUGACGGACUUUGGUUUCCAGAGUCAGAUCUCUGAGCAGGUCCUGGAUAUGGGUAUUCUUUCUGCUGCUCUGGACAGCCCCAAGGUUGAGGCCCAGGGGCUGGGAGAAGAGGAAAAGGACCCAAGCAAAGCCAGUUUAGAAGAAGAGCAAAGCAAAAGAACCAAAGCUGCUGAGAGUGAGAGGGACCAGCGCCCCUUCAGUGCUUGCGAAAUGGCCGAAGAGAAGUGUUUAAGUUUAAAGAACGCCAGCCAGCAAGAUACAGCUGCCCUGGAGCAAAAGGAGGGAUCGCUGGAUAGUCUGACCAAUCCGGAAGAGCCUGCAGCCCCUCACCAGGCACAACUUGGGGAGGAAAUCAAGCAAGUGGUGUCCUUGAACUGGCUUUCCGCAGAAUCCCUGGAGGAAGUAGCCAAGGAGCAGGAGCUGGAGCAAGAAAAAAUGCGUUUACUGCAAGCAAAGGAGGAGAAGGUUCAGCGAUUUCAGGAGGAGUUGAGGCAAGAGGAGGAGGAAGAAGCUCAAGUGCUUCAUCAGCAAAAAGAAAAGUCCCUCCGGUCUCUUAAAGAGGAGCUGGCGAAGGCUUCUGAGGAGGAAGAGCUGCGGAUGAGAGAGGAAGAGGUCGAGAAACUCUCAAAGCUACGAGCCCAAAUCCGCUCAGAGACUGAGACAGAAAAGGAGAAAAUAAGGGCUGAGCAAGAGGCUGCAUUGCAAAAGCUGAGAGAGGAAUGGGAGUCCCUUCAGAAGGUGGAGAGGGAGAGCUUGGAGGAGAGGAAGAAGCGUGUUUUGGAGAUGCUGAAGGUGGAAGUGGAGGAAGCGCAGCAGAGAGAAGCGACAGAGCUGGAACAGGAGAAGGAGCGAGUCCUGAAUGAGUUAAAGGAGAGAUUAGAAAGAGAAAGAAAAGAGGCUGCAGAAGUGCUAGAGAAGCAGUUUGCAGCUGAGCUCCAGGAGCUAAAAUCUACAGCAGAAGAGAAACACCACAAGGUUGUUUCCAGCCUCCGGAAGCAAAUAGCAGAGGCCCAGAGGAGUGAGGAGGCCCAGCUGCACGAGGAAUUGGAGAGAGCAGAGCAAAAAGUGCAGCAAAAAAUGUAUCGAGUAGCAGAGUUUGAGCGAGAGCUCAGUGAGCUCAUGAAAGAGAAACGCCAGGAAGUGGAGAAAGACCAUGACCGGAAAAUGGAGAGGAUGAAAGAGGAGCAUCAGGAAAUCCUGGCGAGGAUUCAGGAUCAGUACGAAGAGGAGGAGAGAAAGCAAAGAGCCAAGAAGCUCGAGGUGCUGAAAGGGGAGCUGGAGCGCCUGAGACAGCUCCAUGAUGGGGAGCUGCGGGCUUUGCAGAAACAGCUGGAUGAGCAGCUCAGUGACUUGCGGCAGAGCCACAAGGCGAAGGAACGAAAAGUCCAGGAGUUGGAAAUGGAACUCGAAAUGCGAGCAAAAGAUGCCAAGGCCAGAUGUGCUCAGCUGAAUCACCAGGAAGAGGCCAUGAGAAAGAAAAGGCAGCAGCUUCUGGAUGAAGAGAAACAAACUGAGCUGCAGAGAAAUGAAGCUGCUUCAGCUGCUCAGCUCCGCCUAGAGGCGUCUAGGAAAGAGCAUGCUGACCUUGUGGAAUCCAUCCACCAGUUGCGCAGGACUCUGGAGGAGCUUCAAGACCAGAAAGCUGAGCUGGAGUCCCAGGUGGAUCUGUUGCAGACCCGAAGCCAAAGGCUGCAGAAACGGAUGAGUGAACUGGAGGCCGCAGUCAAGAGCCAACAGGAGACCCUGAAAGAGCUGGUAGCCGAAGACAGCAUGGCGUCUCCCAGGAGGGAAGCUGAGCUCCACAUCGAGGACCUGAGAGAGACGCUUCGAGCUCACUCCUCCAGAGAGCCUGCUUCCUUAACCUCGCACAGCAAUGAGGAUGGUGACUUCCAGCUUGAUAACGUCAGACACUACAUUUCUGCAGAAGGAGUCUCCAUAAGGAACGCCAAGGAGUUCCUGGUGCGUCAGACUCGCUCCAUGAGGAAAAGGCACGCUGCACUGAAAGCUGCAACACAGCAGUGGCGUCACACCAUGCAGCAGGCACGGGACGCGGUGCAGGAUCCGGGUAGCUCUCAGCUCUUGGAGGACGUGCGCCGGAACUUGGAGGAGGAAUCAGAGCAGCUGGACAAGAUGAAGUCGGCCAUGCGGAAAGGACAGGUGCUGCUGAAGAAGAAGGAAGAGAAGCUGAGCCAACUGGAGUCUUCGCUGCUGGAAGAGCUUUCUGAUGAAGAUACGCUGAAGGGUGCUGCAUGUAAAAAGGUGGUAACCUUUGACCUUAGUGAUUCAGAAGACACAAACAGCCUGAGCAGCACAGAUGUAUCUCAGCACAAAUUUGAUUUGAAACCAGAUGUCCAGUUCCCCCAGCUCGACAAGAUCCAGCACUUGACCAACACUCUGCAGCACAUCACCGCUGAGCUGAACGGGGUCCUUGGCACCUUGGGCUCUCUGAACCAUCAGCAGCCUCCCCUCUUCACUUCUGUGCUGGUGCCGAUGCCUGCUCUGCCCAGUGAUGGAGUUCCUCUUUCCGCGUACACCUCCUUUGCAAGAGUCCAGGCUGCUGGCCCCAUCGUGCCUCCUGCUGGGAUUCCUUUGGUUAACCAGCAGGCAUGGAGUACCGGUUUGAACUCCAGCCUCUCUUCUACGGCUGGUCAGUCAGUAGACAACAUGCUGGCAGAGAAAUGGCGCAAGUAUUUCCCAGGUGGGUUCCCGUCGCUCAGUGGAAGUCCUGCCCCUCUGGACAGCAAUCUAGGUUAUUUACCUGCAGGUUCCACCUUUGCCAUCCUGUGUCUCCUGUGCUGAGCUCACUCCGUGAAGUGCCUUGCGAUCCUUUUGUGAUGAAAGGCCUGCUGGGCUGGGAGGUUGAACAACGGGUUUGAGCAGUCGAGACACCUUAAAAAGUACAGUGUGUGUGUGUGUUUGUGUGUGAGGGAGGGGAAGGGGGAUGGGAUGGGAUGAUCAGGGCAGCCAGAGCAGAAGUCUGAUGGAGUGUUACCCUAGGCUGUCCUCUCUCCUUGAGGCAAGUCAAAUAAUAAUACCCUAGGCUGUCUGCCUCUCCCUGGAUAGCUUCAGUCUCCCGAGGGGCUAUGUCCAGCACCCAUCACUCUAGUAUCGAAGUGCUUUGGAAGUAUGCUUUCCGGGCUGUUUUCUCUGACCUCGUGUUAAGGAGAGUGAUGCUGAGUUCCAUCUGGGGAAGUAAAUGGUUCCUUUAUUCCCGUGACCGCUUGUGGCCUGCUGGUUCCAUGGGGUUGUAGGGGCCCCUUAUCUGGGUUUCUUUCAGCUCUGGUGCUUAUUGCUGGCUCAGUAAGAGGCUCCGUGCCCUGCUUUGGCAGAGGACUCCCUCACCCCAGCUGUUGCUAACUACAUUUGAAAAAUCAAUUAAAAGCCUGAUUAAAUGCCAGUGUCUUGCAGUCUACACUGGGGUUCGCCCCCGUCCAGCUCAGGUGGGGUCUUGGGGCACUGGGCAGAGAGCACCCUGCCAGCUAUUCAGGUACAUCUUGGUCUGAUACACGUCCCUUUGUCAUGGCAAUAAUCGAAGCAGUCAGGUCACUCCUCCCCGCAGCCCUGCCAGCAGCUUUGGCCAUGCAGGGAGCAUUGCAAAGCCCUGAAAAAUCCCCGUCCCUAAUGGAAAAGCAGAUGGUUCCUGGGUGCUAGAGGCAUUGCUGUGCUACUGUAAUCCCACAAGCCACCGACCAGUGCCUGCCUUUGCCACAUCCCUGUUUCUUUAAAUCCUCACUCGGUGGGCCCAUUCAUUUCUUGAAGGGGAUGGGUGAAGAGGCUCUGCACUGGUGCCGUAUGUGCUGGACAAGCCCCGGCAAUUAGACGAGCAAAAGGACAGCAAACAAUUACUCUGGCAGGAGGAGAACGAGCGCUAAGCUCAUUAAGGGGUUGGGAGGUCAUCUGCCCUGUUGCAGCCGGAGAAGGGGACAUUUCAGUUGCUGGUGACAUUGUGACAAUCGGGACUCUGUCUCGGGAGAUUUUUCUGUUUCCCUUAGGUGGGGGGAGCCCAUUGUAGAGUCUGACCAUGCUGGCCACGCUGAUGACUGCGCUGUUUUUCAUGGUGAGAGCGUUUGGACAGCUCAGAACCAGCCUGUUCCAUGAGGAGCCGCUGCCCUAUCUCGUGUACCAGCCCCUGCCGUGGCAGGUCCAGUAUGUGACCCAGAGCCGCCGGGACAGUGGGAAAGGUGGGAGCUCUCGGCGCGGCAGCAUCUACUCGCGGAAAGGUAACGUGAUUCCUGAUUCGAGCAGCAAGAGCCAGUGCUUGUGUGACCCGACCGAGCGGGCUGCCGUCACGAUCCAGACUCACUACAGGAAAUACCAGCAGCACAAGCAUGAGAAGAAAUAGACGUGGCCGGGAUCCCUUUCUUAUGUGUUGGGUUGGUUUUCCUGGGGAACAAGAAGUUUUUCCGUCACUGUUGUGGUGGCUCCCUGAAUCCACACUCGCCUGCUGUCUGCUCCCUUCUUCGUAGUGCUCCCUGUGUGCAGAGAUUUAGAGACAUGUCCAUGUUUGUCAGGGUGUCUACGCCGGCCCUCAGUUGCAAGCCUUGUGGCAAGCCCAUCCCCGCAUGCCAUAGCCCCUGCCGGGGGUCUGGGCAGGGCGCAGGGAGAGCAAGUGUUUGACUGGGUGGGAACUGGAGUCCAGAGACUGACAUGGAGCCCAGCUUUGAGACCCGCAGGCCCAAAUCUCAGAUUUGUGGGUGCUAACUGGGGCUCCAGCACCCUCACGCCACCUUCAGUGCUGGAGUGUCCGAGUGCCCAUCGGUUGGAUGUACGUUUUUGCACACGGCUCUUUUCCCAUCUUUCUGGCCUCUUGCACCCAAGGAGGUGGGUGGGAGGGAGCAGAGGGGCCACAUCUGGCAUCUCUAAGUGUCUGGGCUUGUCUGAAAUUGGCAUAGGGCAGGACACCCCUCCCUCAGUGCAGUGCCGAGCUAGGUUCACUGUGGCCCCUCGUGGGAUAGGUGGCACCAUGAGCUGCUAAAUCUGGAAUCAGAGUAGCAGCCGUGUUAGUCUGUAUCCGCCAAAAAAAAAGGAGGACUAGUGGCACCUUAGAUAAUAGUUUCUAAGGUGCCACAAGUACUCCUUUUCUUUUUGUAGAUCUGGAAUUAAUCCCUCCAUGGUGAAGCUGAGCUCUUGGGCCAGCUCCACCGUCUGGCCAUGUGACCGCGGUCGAGUGGGCAGGAGGCAGCAGUCCCAUGUCCACGUAGUAACUGACCCAGCGUGCCAGGGCAUGUUCAGCCUGCUCCGGAGCCCUCGUGGGAGCAGGUCUGUGUCCUGGAGCCGCAGCAGGGGCCGGUGCUAACUCUUAGAGAGCUGGGUUCUUUUAGCAGGAGAAAAGCUAGAGAGAGGGGCCAGGUUACUUGGGGGAAGGGGGAGCUGGCAGCAGGGGCUGUAGGCUUUGUGGUAAGCUGGGAGGGGUCGUGGGGUCACGGGAGUAGGUUGAGCAGCUGGGAGAGGCAUAGAAAGGAGGUGCUUGCAGAUGUGUGGAUGCUGACCACCACCCCUGCAAUUAGCUUGAUGGAUCUUCCCUGUCUCCUUUCUCCUGUCCCUUCUGAUUUGUCACCCUAACCUAGUAGUCGUUCCCCCUGCUAAUCGCUCCCGCCCGACAUGGGGCUAGUCACACCGCUGUUCUCUAGCUAGGCCAUAGUUGUCCAUGACAUACGGCCAGGUAGGAGACCCACUGUUUGCCUGGAGGAGUUUACAGUGUCCUCGGCAUUAGGCCAGAGCAGUGCACGCAACAGACUGGGGGGGAUGUGGUGAUGAGCUCUCACAGUUAUAUAUGGCUAGUUGCAUGUGCUUCCAGGAGGUGGGGGUGGAGUUGCUAAGUCCCUGUCUCUCUGAGGGUUUUGUAAGAGGACUGUUUUUGAGGGGGGGAGGGGGAAUCUAUGGGGAGCAGGGUAAAGGAGUAAAGCCCUGGGAUGUGUAUCUGCAUUGGGUAACCCAGGAAGUGCAGUGAGAACGUCAUUGAGGGCUCAGGAUGGAUUGGCUGGUUACAUUCAAACAAACGUAAGGGAAUUUUACACGCUGGUGCAUUGCAACCCUCCAACAGCUGUAAGUGGGAGAGACUUUGCCCUGGGGGGGUGCGGGGGGACCUAUGAAUCGUCUUGUGCACAAGAUAUUGCUAGUGUUGAACUAUAUUGCUCUGGCCCCUUGAGAAGGGUUCUCAGCUGCCUCCUUGCUGUAGCUGACAGUGAUUCUGUGCAGUACCCACAAUGGACUCUGGCCCUUAAACCUCCUUGAGAGCACCGGGUCCCCCAUCUCUAGCCUGCCCUCCCCCCCCCCCCCGUGCCCCCCGUUGCAGGCUGACCUAGCUCCCUCCCACAUGGCCAUGAAUGCUGCUGCACCCCCAGUUGCGUGCUGGUUAAUCAGUGCUUGUAAAGGGCUUUAAAUAUGUAAAGCCCAGUGUCAAUGCUCAGUGAGGGGGUCACUGUCUCUGGGUUCUCUCCUCUCCCCAGUAGUUCUGCGCCCGCUUGAACUCUGAUCCCCUACAUACUCGUUCCAAGCCAGGGGCUAGUGCCAGCUUGUUCGCCCUCUAUUACUGCACAGCUGGUUCCAGCUCCUCUGCACUGAGGGUUGUUAGACUAUGAGGCUUUCACUGGCUCUUGUUUUUGUUGCUUGUAUUGUGGAGGCACUGUGCCAGGAUCAGGGCCUCUUGUGCUGCGUGCGGCACAGACACCAGGUACUGGGGACGCUAGCUUCACGUCCUUUUAAACUUUGAUUUUUCACUCAAUAGUUUCUUGCACCUCCCAUGUUUUAGGGCAGGUGAAACAAUAGGGAGUUAAAGGUUGGCCAGUUUGACUUGAAUUCCCUUCGGCAACUUUCUCCUCCCCUGAAAUGCUGGUUUGUAAUUUCCUACAACGGUAUGCCUGUUAUAGCAACAAUAAAUGAGGCUGGACUAGGGCUGAUCUAUUUCCCCGUCUUUCUGUAGUGGUGGAAAUCGAGCCAGAUUGGAUAAAGCUGUGCGAUAGCAUGGCCUGUAGUUGCAUGGGAAAGUACAGUGGAGAAUUUGUAUUAGAAUGUAGGAUUGAGAUUUGUACCAGCUACAUGAUAAUAAAGAAGUGACAAUCUAGUCUUCUGCCUUUCGUUAUUUUGCCAACCCACUUGGUCAAACAGCAGAGAGUAUUCUUGGCUCUUUCAUUUGCAGUUCUGGGUUGAAAUUUCAGACCUCAGAGGAACAUGUGGUCACAGACUACAGCACUGUGCCGAUGCCAGGGGUGUUUACAGGGCCCUCCCUUUAGGACUUGUGUCUCUACCGUGUUCAGACUGUUCAAUCGUAGUAGGAAUGUUUUUAAAGAUUGUGAAACCAUGCUAGUGAAAUGUUAGUUUGCUUGUAAACAUUCUUGCCUUCGUCUAACGGGGAGAACCAGAAGACGACUAGAAACAUGCAGGUGACUGGUCUCAGUGUAAAAUUUAACCAGCACCCAGGCUGAAAUGAAUGUGAUUUGAAGUAUGAUAAUCCGUUCUGAUAACUGAGAGGCUUCUCAGUAAGGAUCGGGCACAACCUUUCUGUCUCGCUGUAGCCCGUAGGGGCUGUGGGUGGUUCUUACAGAACUUGCUGCUCGGAAAACAUUGCCAUGGUGGCGGCAGUCUACCAGGAUGCGAAAACGUAACUUGUCCCGGUGGUUAGAGCAUGGCACUGGUAGGCGGCAGGCCUGUAAUCUGUGUCUUACCACGUGCACCUGUGUUCAUUUGUGCGCCCCUCUGCCUCAGUUUCCCUACUUCUGUAAAGUGCUUUGAGAUCAGUAAAUAAAGCAUAGACAAAGUGCUAGUCCUAAAAAGAAGACUCUCAGCACAGUGAGGGGUAUACGAAGAGCCUGUGGCUGCUGUCUUUCGAUAACUCAGGGUUAAACCAACCUGCUCAAACUCCUGGCGUUCGCUGAUGGUGAACCUGGCUCCCUGCUGCUGCUGAUGUUAAAGGCAGAGGAGCUGGCAACUGCUGUGGGCAUCUGUUUUUGGAAACCAGGUAUUUAUCUGUACCAGUUGGAUGCAGCCAUCUGCCUCUGGGAGAUGCAUGGUCUGAGCACCCCUCCUAGGGUACAGCAGAACUCAAACCCUUCACUGAGCAGCAAGAGAGCAAGCAGGGUGGGAAGGUGGCAGGCAGUGGGUUCGCCGGUGGAGAAUGCUGCCCUGAGUGUCUGCAGAGCAGCAAAGUCAAACCCAACACCUGACUGGCUGGAGACGAGCGAGACAUCCCUCCAGCCCCAAAACAGAAAGGGAAACAGCACCCACCACUUCUACAAAGCCGCUGCGGCAUAGCCCCCUGCCUGCUCUUGGGCGUGCUGCUAGAACUGUGCAUUCAGUUCCUGGAGAAUUGCUGUUCCCAUUCCCAGCAGGUACAGAGGAGGAAAUGGUAUUUGCCUCCACUGCAUCAGCCCUUCUCUUUACAGACCUGGUGCUUCUGAUGGUAUUUAUUUCCAACUGAGGUGCUUGCUCUGGUAUUUUCAUGAAGCCUGGCCUGCCCCCCCCCCUCCCCUUGCUGGCAAGAACAGAGUUCCUGGGGGGAGCUGUGUGUUAUGUUAGUACAGCCUUAGCUAGGACCCCCUUUUCUAAUGUGGGAUCGGCUUUCUUCUUGUCAGUGCUCUCCCUUCUUUAUGGAGGGCAGCAAUCCCGCCCUGCCUCUGGAAUCCCUUUAGUCUGACUUCCUGUGGACCAUCUCCCAUUCUCCAUCCAUAGAAUGAGCAUUCCUUAGGUGGGCGUCUACCCUAGGGCUCUUUCGACCCACAGGGGCAUCCCACAGACUUUUGCCCUGUGUCUGUCCCAUCCUUUGUAGACCACACUGUGGCCUUUUCCCCAACCAGCACCUCACAGUCUGAUGGUCUCUGCUCCCUGUUAGCUAUUAAGUCCUCCAGCAUCCACCUCCUCUCGGCCCCCAACUGGGGUUGGCUCUGUCUUUUCCUUUGGUUUGUCCUUGUAUAGGCCCCCUUUGCUCCUUCACCCCUUUCUCCAGCAUUUCCCACCUGGGCCGCACGUUCUGGGUUUGUUGGUAUUUGUCUAGGGUUUUUUCUCUGCCCUGGCAUUUCCAAUCUGGGCCUCACGUUUUUGGCUUGUGGGUCUGGGUCUUAUACUGACCCCUCUGUGUCUUACCAUCCAUUGAGGUUCCCUCCCGUGCGUGGCUCUUGAAGGGAAUGGGUUCCAAUCAGUCCCCACAACCAUGGGAUGGGGGGCCUGUAGCUCCUGCACAACUCUAUUGGGAUGAUGCCGCUGGAAAAGGCUUUCUGCCCCGUGUAUACACUCCAUUCCUAGAGCAUGUACCCGUCCCAAAACCACCGUGAUGUAACCAGCCUGCUCUGCAGGAGUGAGUAACUGGCCUCUGAAGAAACAACCCCAUCUCUGGUUGUCAGCCCACCCUUACUGGAAUAGUUUUUACUCCCUUCUGAGAGCUUUCCAUCACCCCAGUCUAGCCACAACGUUCCCCCAGACCACGUUCCAUCUCUGAGCUGUCCCACUUGAUGCCUUUUCCCCUGUGCUGCUAGCAGGUUAUAUCCUGUCUGACCAAGUGGCCUUCCUUUCUUCCUGUCUCACGCCUGCAGGUCAUACUGCUUGUGUUGGACAAGCUGCUUUUCUUUGCAAAUCUUGGAACGCUUCUCGGCCAAUUUUGACGUUGCCUCCAUUGUCUUUGGUUGGUGUCUCCAGACCCUCGUGGUCUCUGGAAGGCUCUGCGUAAUAUCACAGCAUCCAGGACUGCUUCCACAUCUUGCCUCAGCCAGUAGUUGGCCCAAUCUGUGCAAAUGCUCUGGGCCUUACCCCAGAUGUCCACCUGGCUGCCCUAUAUUUUUGCCAGUAUCUUUUGGACGACACAAACCUACAUGGUUCAAUAUAGCAGCAUUUAACACCUCAGAGUUCUUGGCCUGCUCUUUGCUCAAUGCCAGGUAAGCACUUGGGCUUCUCCCGACAGGUAAGGGCUAACUAUAUGCCCACAAAUCUUUACCCCAGCUCACACCAGCAGCAGUUCUUUUGAAAGUCAGUACAAAGGCACUGGGAUCCUCCCCGGGCCCAGCCCCCCUCCCCAGUGGCAGGACUUGUCAGAUUGUGUAAUACCUGCUGUUGUACGUGGGUCUGUUCCUUCAGGAACUCCGGAAGUAAGUGCCUGCUGUUUCUUUGCCUGCCAUCCCAGUGGGGCUUGGUGCUCUGCCUGCCUUUUCUUUCCAGGUUCAGCCUGUCCUCACACAGGCUGCCUCUCAAGCUUUCCUGGCUCUGUCCGGCAGAUGGAUCCCGGCCAAGCCCCCACCUGUGAAGCGGCUCUCCCUUCUGCUCCUGCCAACCUGCUCCUCCUCUAGCCAAACCCAGGACCCUGCGUGCUCGAAGUGACCGGUGGGCGGCUCCCAAAGGGCUCUCUUUACAGCUGCUAGCAGCGCCCAUCCCAAGGCAGAAUUUAAAAUACGGUUGUAAUGUUGUACAUAGCAACCAAGAUCCAUUGUCCUGCGUAUAGACUUUAAACAGUUACUCUAUGUUUCAGAGCAAAACUGCCCUUGGAAAAUUAGGUUCUACAGAAAGACUAAAAUCUAUUUAAUGUGUAAGGACAAUGUAGAAAAUGUCUCCCAAUUAACUGUAGCCGGGAUUUAAAAAAAAAACACAGCUCUUCUCCUGUACUGUACUGCUCUCAGGUCACCCACGCAUCUUUUCUCUCUGCUGAAGAACAUGUUACGUUUGGCAUCUCAUUCACCGUGUAGCCAGCUGCGGGUCGAGAGAAAGGAAAGGGUUGCGAGAGUCCAACUCCUUACUCUGGAAGAGCAGCUGUGUCUGCGGGGAGAGCCGUGCACAGCACGGAUAUGGAGGCCAGAACAGCUCCGGACUUCACACGCUGCACCUCCUCUAGCGUCAAAUGAGAACUACAGCAGAACCUCAGAAGUGGAAGUUGUCGGUAACGCUGACCAAGACGUUAUGGACUUCAGCCACUUCAGCAAGGCUUCUGACCCUUGGGAGCACCAUGGCUCGGGGCUUUAGACCUGGGGGGAGUGCUGGGGCUCCCCACAGCUCCACUCCUGGUUUCAGCUGCGGGGGGCGGGAAGCUCUGGGGUUUGGGGCUUUGGCUAUGGGGGGACUGCUGGGGCUGAAACUGGCGCGCCCCACGUCUAGGCCUCUCCUGGGGGGCUGAAGCUGUGCCCCCCUUCCCCCCCCAGUUGAAACCCUGAGUACCAGGGCUAAAGCCUCAAGGCAGUGAAGUAUUUGCUCUGUGUGUGUGUGUGUGUGUUUGUGUGUCUUUGAGGUUCUCCUGGACCCAGUUUGGAGCCGUUCCUACAUGGAAUCCUCUUGAAGUCAUGGGAUGCUGCCCUGGCACAUGCCCUUCCAGGACUGGGCCCAUACCCAGGCUGCACAGCCUCCUACAUAUCUGGCAACCUCCUUGCACCUCACUGCAGUGCCACUGGUUUCUUCCUCAGUGAGUAAGCCCAGCUGCCUCGGAGCUACUGGGGCACUGCCUCUGUCUGCAGACAGCCGACGUGCCUGCUCCCUGCCCUGCUGCAGGCUCACAGCUACUCCUGAGAAGCAAGACAAAAGGUAGGCAAGAAAGCGUAUGCCCUUGCAAUUCCUAGUGCCCCCAGCUGGCCUGACACUUGCCCUCAGGACAGCAUGGGAUGGGGGAGAGGCUCCUGCUGAUCUGUGAUGGAUUGGCUUGUCUCUCUCCAUUCCGUGCUUCCCUGCAGGCUUAGUGUCCUGGCUAAACCUUUACAGCCAUGGUUUUUAGGCAGACGUGCAAACUGCCACGAGCUACUGAAAAGCUAAGAGCACUAAACCCUUCUCUCAGCUAUUUGAGCUCUUCUCCCAACCCGGUCCGCUCCUAGUGCAAUCCUGAGGCUUGAAUCAAAUGGAAAACUCCAACGUAUAAACAUAACUUUUAUUGCACACGGCGCUGGGUUUUUUCAUAGAAAAAGGUAUUAACACAUAAGCAUUUGCAAAUCAAAGCAACUCCUGUUGUUUUCAGAACAGUAAACAGCAUGCAAUGUCUUUGAGAAUUUGCUUUUCAAAACCACCAAUAAUAUCAGGGGAAAAAAUCGCUGAGUCUCUUUGUGCUCCUUUCAAAAUGAUGUGAAAUAUAAGAUCACAUAUAUAUAUAUAUUUUAAAUCUGUAACAUCAAAUUCUUUGUGCCCUGGCUUCUUUUUCAGUUCUGGAGAAGAAGAAAAUAGUUUCAUUUAUACAAAAGAGUUCAUUAUGUACAAGAGUUUAUUUUAUUUCAAUAUAAAUAAUGCAGGAAACCAGCAGUUUCUUUUAAAUUGGUUUUCUAGUUUCCUACACAAGAGUGUAGGAUUUGGAGUACGCUCCAGCCCCUUGUUUUUGAGAUCUCCCUAUACCGGAUGUGCUCAUUUCUAGUAAAGAGUCUCUAGAGCCUCCCAUCUUGGUGUGUGUGGGCAUGCGUGGCUCAGCGCUGGCGGCAGGAGCGGGAUCGGCGGCAGGAGCAGAAGCGGCAGGAGCAGAAGCGGAGUUUGCCGAGACAGGCAUGGUGAGUGUUCUUUGAGGUAAAGUAGUUGUGGAGGAGCCCGGGUGUGGCAGGCCCAAAGGCUUGCUGCCUGGGUCUAGCGUCAUAUGCCUCGCUUGCGUGUGAUAAGCCCUGGCUAGGUUUCGGAUGGAGGCUUCCCUGGGCGGGACCACUGGACAAGGAUCGUGGAUGUCAGGCUUGCGGAAGAAUGCUUCUGAUUUCACGUACAAGGGAAGGUUGCAGUAAUCGCCUGCAGGGAACAAAGACAGAGGUAAGGUGCUCGAAACGCCUAGCAGUUUCGCAUAGAGCGUGGGAAGCAAGAGUAACGACUGACCCCUGCGUGUGCCUGACGACAAGCACCCGUUUGUCUUUCGCUCUUCAUAGGUCUCCUCUUUUUACUCAGGCACAAAUGGUUUGUGGUGUGUGCUUACACGCCAGGAACCUUGCUCUGCCUUUGCGCUUUUCUUAUCAGGAUCAGAGAGGAAAGAUCCCUGUUCUUUAUGUGCGCCACGAUUUGAUACUCUCAUCUCUGAGGAUGAUAAAGGACCCAUGCUAUAAAAAGAGGAAGUAUCUAACGUAUGGCUGCCCAGUAACGGUGAGGAGACCCUGAGGGAAAGUAGUGUUGUCAGGAGGAAAGCGAAGGUUGAGACCUGAGGUGCCUCUGCUGCUGAAAUGCAAUUGAAAUAGUGAUGGGGGAAGAAAGAUGCUGGAGUUUAGUUUUGUUUGUUGGGACUGGAGUCCCGUUCCGCCCAGGGGCUUCGUGGCUGAGGUUCGAGAGGAUCAUUUCAUUCUAGCUUCCCCCAGCCCAGCAGCUGUCAGUGGAGGGGUGGAGAGAAGGAAACCCAUGCCCCACGGGAACAUCACUGCAAAGGCAGAAGAGCGGUCUAGGACAGUAGGUGACCCUUCCUGAGACUGUAGAUAAUGAAGUAAUGCAAAUGCAGGUGGCUCCUAUACAGAUCACAGCAGAUUCAGGCCUGGUGAAUGCUAACGGUGGAGUGAUGGUUAUAAGAUAAGAUAAUACCAACCCUGGCCCAGAAAUGAAUUCUCUAGAGUUCAGCACCCGAAGGCGUCUAUAGCUCGCUCACAAACAGGUAAAACAAAGCUGGCCACCAUCUCUCAGCAACUUGGAAUGGCAUGAGCCCUAGAUGGAAAAGCAUUGCACGGAGCUAGCAAGGCAGCAACAGUGUCCAUAGGAUCCAAAGGUCAGUCCCUGAAUGCACAAAAUAAAGGGGAGUGUGCUGUCCCGGUGGGGGUGGGAAGCUAGUGGCUUAUCUAGCCCAGCUCCCUGUGAAUGCAGGGUUGAGUCCAUCCACUAACAAUUAAUAAGACUUUGUGGGCUAUCCAUCGGGAUAAACCUCUGGUGGUGAGAUUCACCUGUGUCCCCACUCAGCCAAACCAAAUCAUUUGCUCUUCUAGGGUCCAAUUCUACAAAUAUUUACGGAUGGGGGAGUAAUAUCUGCAGGGUCCCCUUGAGCUCACAGAAGGUGGGGGAUUGUGGGUGGCAGCGUUUGCGGGACUGAGCUCUUAGCCUUGCCGCAUCACUGGACUGCUCCUUAGAAUUUCAGGAGUGAGGACUGAAAGCAGCACCCAAUGCAUAAUAACACAAACAGUAAAUUACCAGGGAUCAUCUGUGUAUAGUAAUCCUUAUAACAGACCUGUAAGGCUAGUAGGGAGAAAGGAAAGUGGGCUUAGUAAGGGUUGAUCACAGUGUGAACCUGAAGGCUCUAAGGUAGCUGCUGGAAAGGAUUAUGUAGGUGUGCGUGAGCUAGAGGACAGCAACAGGGUCAGUGGCCCUUGACUCCUCUCGAGAGCAGAAGCUCUGUCUAGUUGUCAUCCAUGCUUCAGUUUGUCCUUAGAAGGGCCGAGAGCGUAGUGGGGUAAAACUGAUAUGACACGUUCUGUGGUAAGUAAUCGCUUCCCUCUCUGAGCUCAUGAGCCCUUAAAGACUGGGAAAUAGGGAUUAAACUCUUGUGUAAAAUAAGCCUUGUUUUUUGUUGUAGCUACCCAAAGAAUUGUGGAACAAAAAUGGAGGAGACAGUAGCAGCAAAUUUAGGUGAGCGCUCACAUUGCAGAUGUGGCCAGACACAGCAGGGCUGCUUGAAAACGAAUCUCGAGGAAGGCCGUGUGUGCGCUCUACGGGAUGACAGUGCCAUGCUGAGCACUAGCCCUCAGGGGCUGGGACCUCAGUGGCUGUAAUAGCCAUGCUGCAGCCUUGCUCCUGCAUGGGUGACGGGGGCGCUCUUAGCCAUCGGAAGGAUACUUACUCUUGUUAGCUCUGUGUGGGAUGGGCACUGCCACGUUCUUGCCUCUGUCGCUGUCCUGCGGCUUGGGCGGGGAGGCGGUGAACCUGCAGAUGCCUGGCUCGGACGGGGUGCUCAUGGAGGUCAUGCUGUCUGCGUUCUCAUUGGUCCCUGUGGUCAUUUGGUCGGAAGAGCUAUCUGAGAUGAAGCACUCUGUGAUCUCGAACUUGGCAUGCUGCAAUUGCUCCUCGAGCUUGGCGUGCUCAUAGGCCCGUGCCAGCUCCUCGUAGGUGGAUGAGGCGCUCUCCGUAGACACCAUGCUGUUCCGCCCUUUGUCUGAAAACAAGUAAGAACAAAGAGGCGUUCUUACACCUGGAAAAGACUAUGAAAGGCCGAUGCCUCAUCUCCAUCUUGUCUUCAAUCCUGCUUCUGACUGCUGGAGGGACUUUGCUACAAACGGAAGCUCUACACAAAGGACGGAUGACCCAUCUCAGCUGUGGAUAGACUCCAGAGACUUGAUUUGAACUUGCAGUUUAUUCUAUCACAGCUACAAGCCUGAACCAAGAACUUUGCCAUUACUGUAUGUAAUUGAUUCCAUUUAACCAGUUGUAGCUCUCAUCAAUAUCUUUUCCCUUUUCUAAAUAGAUCUUUAGAUUCUAAAGGAUCGGCAACAGCGUGGUUUGUGGGUGAGAUCUGAUUUGUAUAUUGAUCUGGGUCUGGGGCUUGGUCCUUUGGGAUCGAGAGAACCUCUUUUCUUUUACUGGGGUCUUAGUUUUCAUAACCAUCUGUCCCCAUAAUGAGUGGCACUGGUGGCAAUGCUGGGAAACUGGAGCGUCUAAGGAAAUUGCUUGUGUGACUUUGGUUUUACCCCGCUGGCUAACCACAAGUCUUGUCUGGUUGGUUGGUUUGGUUUGCCUUAGAGGUGGCAAAACCCCAGCCUUUGGCUCUAACUGACUUGCUUGAAGCAAUUUGUUCUGAAUUGGCACUCUCAGUUGGGUCCUGCCAGAACCAGCAUCAGUACACUAUGCAACGUGGCUCUGUCUAGAAGAUACCAUCAGGGAUGCUUAGUUUUGCAGUUCUCAAACUGUAGAUUUGUGCCUCCAGAGAUAACAUGCUUGUGCACAAAGAAAUAGAGGGGAGAAAAAAAUGAGACCUCAACUCUAUUGUCCCUCUGCAAAUUGGUGUACACAGAGUCAAUCCCUAACCUCUCUCAGAAAGUUCAAUGAACAGCAGAUUGUUGAGGGUGGAAUAGAUCUGGACAAAGAGAAGAGAGGGAUGGGCAGUAGAAGCAACAGUUACACUAUUUGGGCAGCAUAGUCUGGAAGUGUUGAGGUCUUUCUGAGUGUAGUCUUCAUUGAUUUGAGAUCUACUGUACCAUCCUUUCACUAGAAGGGAAAACCUGCUAUGCUGGGAGGCUGUAAAAGAGAUCCAGUUUGGGGUUAUUGUAAUGAAGUCCCUCUACCUGUGGACAAGACAGGCAUGUAUGCGAAAUGCAAGGCCUGCUUGCCUCACUGAAACAACGUCAUGAGAAGAGGGCCUCAUCCUCCCUGAUUGAACUAACCUCAUUAUCCCUAGCCUGAUUCUUGCUUGAAUAGUUAUACCUGCCUCUGGAAAUUUCCACUACAUGCAUCCGAUGAAGUGGGUAUUGACCCACGGAAGCUCAUGCUCCAAUGAGUCUGUUUGUUAGUCUAUAAGGUGCCACCGGACUCUUUGCUGCUCUCAUGAGAAGUGUUUCUUCUGAGGCAGAAGCUCUGUUGAAGAUGAUGAAAGGAACAUGCAGGAUCUUCAGGUUGGUAAACUUUUCUAUUUCAUAUUUCUUUUGUAAGGACUGCCUGUCUUCCUUCCGGACUAUUCUUGAAUUCUCGUGUUUGAGCAAGCAAUAUAGUUAUGCUAAAGGUGAAAUUGUAAAAGGAAGAUCUGUCUAUUUCAGUGGUUUGUUACCUAAAAUGAUUGAUAGUACCAGAAAGUGUCAGUGAAUGCAAUGAGUAACACUAAAUGAUUAUGAUGAUAAUUAAUAAAGAACUGCAUUGACUUA